rnacentral:rRNA from 1 species
AUGCCCCUCUCUGAAUUUUGUGAUGUUUGCAAGUUGCCUUUUCCGGGCAGCAUAGAGGAACCACAUCGUGACGAUGUGGAGGGGUUUAUUGAUACAAUUGCUGUAGGGGAAACUAGGAAAGUUUCCGAUGCAAGAAUCACUAGCAUACAUUUUCCUGUAUUACGUUACUUUGCAUUAUUUGCUAGUAGAUGCUUAAUUGGUCGCGGAAACUAUGGCAACCUAAGUGCCCCUGACAUUGUUAUUUUGUGCCAUGCCUUGUUUCAUGAUGACUCAUUCAGUAUGGGCACUAUUGUUGCAAAGCGGUUAAAUCUUAACCGUACUAAGGGCCCCAUGCAUCUUGGGAGGCAUCUUCGCCUCGCGCCUCGCUGCAUACUUUAA